GGUUGCGUGGCCUAAUGGUUAAGGCGCUGGUUUUCGGCUUUGUCUAUCACCAGAGAUUGGGGGUUCGAGUCCUCCCGCGAUCG
rnacentral:tRNA from 1 species